rnacentral:rRNA from 1 species
GACGAACGCUGGCGGCGUGCUUAACACAUGCAAGUCGAACGGAAAGGCCCUGCUUUUGUGGGGUGCUCGAGUGGCGAACGGGUGAGUAACACGUGAGUAACCUGCCCUUGACUUUGGGAUAACUUCAGGAAACUGGGGCUAAUACCGGAUAGGAGCUCCUGCUGCAUGGUGGGGGUUGGAAAGUUUCGGCGGUUGGGGAUGGACUCGCGGCUUAUCAGCUUGUUGGUGGGGUAGUGGCUUACCAAGGCUUUGACGGGUAGCCGGCCUGGGAGGGUGACCGGCCACAUUGGAACUGAGAUACGGCCCAGACUCCUACGGGAGGCAGCAGUGGGGAAUAUUGCACAAUGGGCGGAAGCCUGAUGCAGCAACGCCGCGUGCGGGAUGACGGCCUUCGGGUUGUAAACCGCUUUCGCCUGUGACGAAGCGUGAGUGACGGUAAUGGGUAAAGAAGCACCGGCUAACUACGUG